UGAGUGGGCAAGACGAUCGCUGGGGUGCCUUCGGGCAAACUGGAGGAAAGUCCGGGCUCCGCAGGAUAGGAUGGUCGAUAACGUCGACCGGCCGCGAGGCUAGGGAAAGUGCAGCAGAGAAUAGACCGCCGAACGGUUGCAGGCGAUUGUCUUUCGGGACUUUCAAAUUCAAUGCGUGGUAAGGGUGAAACGGUGCGGUAAGAGCGCACCAGCGGUCGAGGUGACUCGAUCGGCUUGGUAAACCCCAUCCGGAGCUAGACCAAACAGAGUGCAGGGGAUUGGCUUUCGGGCUGACUCCCGCGAAGCGAUCCGUUUCGCUAUCGACAUUCGGGUAGGUCGCAACCGAGGCGACGAGCAAUCGUCGUGCACAGAUAAAUGGUCGUCGGCGCGAGGCAACUCGCGUCACAGAACCCGGCUUACUACCCCACUCACGGC
rnacentral:RNase_P_RNA from 1 species